rnacentral:rRNA from 1 species
AUUGAACGCUGGCGGCAGGCCUAACACAUGCAAGUCGAGCGCGCGGCGGGGAGGGGUGUAAUGUCUGGGAAACUGUGUGUUAGAGGGGGAUAACUACUGGAAACGGUAUCUCAAACCGCGCACCAUCAGAUGUGCCCAGAUGGGAUUAGAUAGUAGGUGGGGUAACGGCUCACCUAGGCGAGGAGCCCUAGCUGGUCUGAGAGGAUGACCAGCCACACUGGAACUGAGACACGGUCCAGACUCCUACGGGAGGCAGCAGUGGGGAAUAUUGCACAAUGGGCGCAAGCCUGAUGCAGCCAUGCCGCGUGUGUGAAGAAGGCCUUCGGGUUGUAAAGCACUGUCAGCGGGGAGGCGUUACCCGCAGAAGAAGCACCGGCUAACUCCGUGCCAGCAGCCGCGGUAAUAC